GGCGCGGCGCACCCCCGACACUGUCUGUUGGAGAAGCGAAGCAGCCAUCCCCCCCCCUCCUCUCCCUGCCGGUGCACGACCACCUCUGACCGUGAUAGGGUCAAGCGCCCACGACGUAGGGGAGGGGGGAGAGGAGAGCAGAGUGAUUCACCGCUACGGAUGUUGGCGGUCAGGUCCUGGAUGGCGUUGUGUCGGUGUGACCUGCGACGUUGAACAUGUUUGCACCACCUGCAUGAUGGGCAAAGCGCUAGCGUGGCUCGAGCGUACCUCACACCCGGCCCCUCACACUGCGCACUGGUGUGGGGCGCCUGAGCCACCGCGAGCGGUGUGUGUGUGCGCGCACCACGCGGUGAGCUUCUCAGCGGGGAGGUGGGCAGACUUUGAGGCAGGGGCCGUGCUGAGGUGACUGGGCUGGCGGAGGGCUGCAACGCGUGCUGACGGCUGCUUCGCCACACGUGAUGGUCCUGUUGCAGGCCGGGGUGGACAGAGUGGUAUUCAAGCUAUGCUGUAUGGUAGAGAAUGGUCUUGCUGCAAAAGAAGAAAACGCCAUAGAUGCGCUGCAACCUCUUUCUUUUACUAUCCCUCUCCCGCCUCUUUCUCCUCUUUUCUUCCUUCUGCUCGCAUCACUUUUUGCCCUUGUUGCUGACGCACACACGACGGCCGAUUUUUUUUUUGUUGGGGGGGGGACGUGCACGAAAG
rnacentral:misc_RNA from 1 species